rnacentral:pre_miRNA from 1 species
UGGUAGUGUUCGGGUGACUUGAGUACAUGAACUUUGACUGACCAUGUACUCAAGUCGCCCAAACACCACUG